rnacentral:rRNA from 1 species
AGAGUUUGAUCAUGGCUCAGGAUGAACGCUGGCGGCGUGCUUAACACAUGCAAGUCGAACGUGACCCAUUAGCAAUAGUGGUGAAAGUGGCGAACGGGUGAGUAACACGUAGAUAACCUACCCUGAAGCGGGGGAUAACGAUUGGAAACGGUCGCUAAUACCGCAUGAGCCUAUUGAAGCGGGAGUGAGAUAGGGAGAAUUCAGGUGCUUUAGGCGGGGUCUGCGUCCGAUUAGCUAGUUGGUGAGGUAACGGCUCACCAAGGCGACGAUCGGUAGCUGGUCAGAGAGGACGAUCAGCCACACGGGAACUGAGACACGGUCCCGACUCCUACGGGGGGCAGCAGUGAGGAAUAUUGGGCAAUGGGCGGAAGCCUGACCCAGCAACGCCGCAUGGAGGAUGAAGGCCUUCGGGUCGUAAACUCCUUUUGACGGGGAAGAGGAAGGACGGUACCCGUCGAAUAAGUCACGGCUAACUACGUG